rnacentral:misc_RNA from 1 species
CAUGAGUGGUGUUUGGUUUGUUACGGGUGGUUGGCUCUUUGCUUGCGCAACAACUUCCACCCGGCAAACCUCUUCAGUUUUGCAUCAAUGCUUGUAUCGCAUUGAAUGUAGGUUGGGUUUCUUGUGUUACAUACCAAAUUGAUGGUAUCGAUCGAUGAAUUGAUGUUCCUUUUUCGUCUUGUGUUGCAUAUGUGAUACGAGAUGAACCUUGAAGCAGUCUUUGUGAUCCACUCUUUUGAUGCAUGCAUUGAUCGUGUGGCCCAUAAAGUGUUGCUUGGUCUCAUGGAUAUGGAACCUGGUGUGGGCAUUGGAUCUUAUCAAUCCCUUGUUUGCCCUAAUUAAGCUUCUCUAAUACGAUUGACUAUCAUGUAGGGGUGUCUCUAUGUGGUAGUCGAUGUCGAAGAUGAAUGCUACCUGGUUGAUCCUGCCAGUAGUCAUAUGCUUGUCUCAAAGAUUAAGCCAUG